rnacentral:rRNA from 1 species
AGAAUCAACGCUGGCGGCGUGCCUAACACAUGCAAGUCGCACGAGAAAGGGGAGCAAUCCCUGAGUAAAGUGGCGCACGGGUGAGUAACACGUGACUUAUCUACCUCCGAGUGGGGAAUAACCUAGAGAAAUCUGGGCUAAUACCGCAUAACACUUACGAGUCAAAGCAGCAAUGCGCUUGGAGAGGAGUUCGCGGCCGAUUAGUUAGUUGGCGGGGUAAUGGCCCACCAAGACGAUGAUCGGUA